CUGCCUGUGAGGUGUGUGGGAUGCCGGCUUUGUGAACCAUGGCUGUUUCCCCACUGCAGCCUCCACUUGGUCACUGUUCAGAGCCUUUGAACUGGGUCCAGUGAAUGUUUACCUCGUGCUAAUGUAGAUUUCCCACGUGAUGCACUGGGAUAACGUGAAACCUGCUCAACUUGAGCAGCUCAUUUUGUGCUCCAAAUGGAAAUCUGGAGGAUGGGAGCAAGUGCUUCUCUGGCCAAAGAAAGAGCAAACUCAGCUGAAGAAGAGCCAUCGCUGGGCAUGCCAAAGGGACCAGAACCAUCACCACCUUCCCCUUCGGUCACUGAUGCUCAGUCACACAGAGGUGCUGCCCUGCCCUAGGAUUUUACCAUGCACAGGAAGGCUAAUGACGUCAAACACUAAGGGUGAUGAUGAAGUCUCGAUGGAGUUCAGUCUCCUCCAGUCUCUCUGGUGCCUCCCAGUCAAGGUCCAGGGGACCCUUCCCAUACAAGGCUACUGCAUGGGAGAAUGGAUGAGUGAACCACGGAUGAGGCAAGAGGGCAGUGUAUCACCUAACGUUUUGGUGUGUGAGUACACAACCCAUUUUUUUUAAUUUCUUUGUUCCCAUGGAUCCUACAGGAAAAGGAAACAAUGUGAUCAGACAAUUCCCAUGGCAAGGAACUCAGUAGGCUGCAGGACUGCACUCAUGGUGAAAUGCCCACCAAGGAGCACCAUAACAUCCUGCUCAGUAGAAUCAUAGGAUCAUAGAAUUAUGGAAUGGCUUGUAUUGGAACGGGCCUUAAAGAUCAUCCAGUUCCAACCCGUGGGCAGGGCUGCCCCCCACCAGCUCAGGCUGCCCAGGGCCUCAUCCAAUCUGGCCUUGAGCGCCUCCAGGGAUGGGGCACCACAGCUUCUCUGGGCAGCCUGUGCCAGGGCCUCAGCAUGUUCUGAGAAAAUAAUUUUCUCCUAACAUCCAACCUAAAUCUCCUCUCUUUUAGUUUUAAACCAUUCCCCCUUGUCCUGUGAAAAAAAUGUGAUCUCCCUCCCUUUAGACAGUGCAUAAGCAAGGUAUUAAGGACCCUACAUGAAUGGAUAUCUUGUAGCUACCUGUUUGAGGUAGAAUCACAUGGUACAGAAGAAACACACAGAUAUGGAGAUAGGGAUGCACAGGUUCUCUUGGGCACCCUUUUCACUGGUCGGGUGAGCUAACCCUUGGGACCUCCCCACCCACCAGUGAGCCCUAGUGCACCCACUGCGCAGGGCUGGUAAGGUGAGGUACAGGCAGGGAAAGGGUGUGGGGGGAAGGUGAGCCUCCUCCAGCACCAGCAGCCCAGCCAGAAACCAGAUCCCAGGCCCCACACCACCAGGCUGCACAGACACUGGUCUAUAUUACAUGUGCUUUCCUGCAAUGGUGAUGUAAUUUAUAACCAGUCCAGUGCGGACAAAAAUUGAUGACUAAGAGGCAAGUUUCAACUCCUGCCAUCUCACUAUCAGCUUCAUUCAGCAUCAGACAUGACUUUCAUUGAGGCUGGGGAGGGGGAUGAAGGUGUCACUGCCUCUUUCUGCUCCCAUCGCACACAUCGCUUGCUCUCAGCACAGUGUUAGAAAUAGCA
ensembl:lncRNA